AUUUCAUAGUUGGGAAUUUUCCCAUGGCAACCACUUAUUUUUGAUAUAAAAUCAAGACACUAAAAAUUAUCUUUACAAUUUUUGGCAAUUCAGAGUCUUGAAACCCACAUUUUAGUGGUCACACCAUUGUGCUGUGUGGCCUUGCCUUGAAUGGGUUACAUGGCUCCAAGACAGGGCUAUACCCCCUAGUGGAAAAAUGGAACACUGUUUCCUAGGGUGGAUAUCAAACUGUCAGAUAGAUAUAUACUAUUGUUCUUGGAAUACACCCUAAAAACAUUAACUAAAUUAAAUUAAAUAAUGCUGUCCUAAGUACAAAGGCAGGAUAAUCUGUCUAAGGCCAUGGGGGUCAUACCCAAGGAUGAGAUCUAGUGGUUCACCAAACAAUUAAAGGGCUGGAUGCACAUGAAAUACUCCCUGAGGUGAUGGUACCAAACCACAGUCAAUUUACUGCUCCUUUUUUUUACAUCUAACAGCUCCUUCCCUUACCUCUCACUCUUAAAAUCUCUUGUUUCUUUUAAAACUCAGAUCAAGUGUCACCAGUGUGAAUUCCUUCCUGAUCCCACCACUUCAGUACUCUUUACCUUCUAACUUUACUUAAUAUUUAUUUUCUCUAUAUUCAGAAUAACUCCCUAAUAGAUUUUAAAUUCCUCAAGUCCUUUGUCUUUUUUUUUUUGAAUCCUCACCUUCCAUCUUAGACUCCACACUCUAUAUUGGUUCCAUGGCAGAAGAACAGUAAGAGUUAGUCAAUGGUGUGGAAAUGAAAUUAGACUGACAGUUUGUGGGGGAAGGGGCCAACUGGGAGUGGCAGUUGGGUCUUGUGACUAGUACUUCCUUCCUGCUGGGUGUGGCAGUUGGGUCUUGUGACUAGCACUUCCUUCCUGCCGGGUGGGACUGGCUUCUGGGUGUUGGAGGAGAGAGGAGCGUGGUCAGCCCAGUCUGGAGUGGCAUGCUCUUCUUGGUUCAGCCAGAAGACACAGGCUUCUGAAGAUAAUAACUAUUUUGAGGUAAAAGUACCAAGAUGAUCCCAUAGUUUUAGAAGAUCCAGAGGUCCUGUCAAAGGUUUCAUGGUGAGUCAAAGCUGAAUUAUGUCAUUGGCAGUAUAUUAUCAGAGAACAGCACUGUCCAACAGACUAAUAAUGACUUGUGGAUAUAUCUAAAAGGAUAAUUUAGGAGGAAUCACAAAGAGAGAAAAGAGCUAUCAGA
rnacentral:lncRNA from 1 species